rfam:Oryza barthii chromosome 4, whole genome shotgun sequence.
AAUAGAUAACACCGUUGAUUUUUUCUCACAUGUUUGACUAUUCGUCUUAUUCAAAAAUUUACGUAAUUAUAAUUUAUUUUGUUAUGAGUUGUUUUAUCACUCAUAGUACUUUAAGCGUGAUUUAUAUCACAUACAUUUGCAUAAAAGUUUUGAAUAAGACGAAUGGUCAAAUAUAUGAGAAAAAGUUAACGGCGUUAUCUAUU